GGCCGGGAGGCGGAGCCGGCUGCGCUGGCGGCUCUUGGGCGCUGGGGCGGCUACUGGCCACGGGGCGAGCGGGGGAGCCUCAGCGCCGCCGGGAGCCGCUCCGUCCCUCCCCGGGGAACCGCCGGAGCCUUGGAGAGAUUAAUGGUAAGGACACGAGGAUAGAGAGGGACCCCAGAGGAGUCCGGCACCCAGCAGCAAAGGUUGUCCAGCCUGGAUCCCGGCGCUGGGGACCCGAAGCAAGGACCCUGACUUGAUGCACGCCGAGUACGAGCUGACUUCUUGAGGGGAAGGAGGAUUACUCCGAAGGCCUGUCCCCUCAAAGCAGGACGCAGGUAAGGGCAACAGCCCUCCUGAUGCUGAGGUUCUGCUGCUGCUGGGCUCUGGCCUCGCCGCGGAGGACACUCAGCAGAGGGGGGUUUUU
rnacentral:lncRNA from 1 species